AGCGAACGCUGGCGGCAGGCCUAACACAUGCAAGUCGAACGAAGUCUUCGGACUUAGUGGCGGACGGGUGAGUAACACGUGGGAACGUGCCUUUAGGUUCGGAAUAACUCAGGGAAACUUGUGCUAAUACCGAAUGUGCCCUCCGGGGGAAAGAUUUAUCGCCUUUAGAGCGGCCCGCGUCUGAUUAGCUAGUUGGUGAGGUAAAGGCUCACCAAGGCUACGAUCAGUAGCUGGUCUGAGAGGAUGACCAGCCACAUUGGGACUGAGACACGGCCCAAACUCCUACGGGAGGCAGCAGUGGGGAAUCUUGCGCAAUGGGCGAAAGCUUGACGCAGCCAUGCCGCGUGGAUGAUGAAGGUCUUAGGAUUGUAAAAUCCUUUCACCGGUGAAGAUAAUGACUGUAGCCGGAGAAGAAGCCCCGGCUAACUUCGUGCCAGCCGCCGCCGUAAUAC
rnacentral:rRNA from 1 species